rnacentral:misc_RNA from 1 species
GUUUCGAGAAACUUGUUUGUUGUGUACGAGUGAAUAUUACUUUAAUUUAGAGGAGAAGGCCUCGCCGGAGGGCGGCGCGAACGGCUACCUGCCGGCCAAAGUGCCCAUCACCAUUACAGCUAACCCUAUGCACGGAGAGGGUGGUGAUGGCGGUGUAGAAAUGUCGUUUCUCCACAACAACAACUGUGGCAACACUACCAGUAGUGACGAUACAUUGCCGCAUCCGAGGAAAAAUGGCCCCGCUGCGAGGCAGUAUGUGUGAUACAAGCUCAAUUAAAACUGGACUGCAUAUUUUACUGUAGGUCACAAGGCUUAAAAUAGCAACAUUAUGUAGUUGCCGUUCCAUGAAAAUUCUACCAUUUUGGUGUAGUACGAUUAGAAAAAUAAUACAGUAAUACUGGGAUUUAAAUUAAAUUUGUUUUUUUUUUUUAAAUUUAUAAUAAUCGUGCUGGAUUUACCAAUAUGGCAAUUUUAUGGAAUUUUCGAAAUUCAAUUGUGAUAUCUACCGCGUGAAGUGCGUGAACUCUCGAGAGUACAAAAAAAUAUAUUUAUUGCUUCUUUAGUGUAUGUUUGAUGUGAGAUGUGUGGAUUCGGUGGUUUGGCAUUUAUUUGAUUUUACUAGUUUUUAAAGACUAUUUAAUGUAAGGUUAUGUAAGUUGUCUUCGAUUUGAGUUUCGAUUUAGGAACUGAACUGUAUGAAUCUUAUUAUAAAGUUCAAAAGUGGCUUGAAUUUUAGCUUUACUAAUGUUUUUUAAAAAUCAUCAAAACUAUUUUAGCAUGUAUCUAUAAUAUAAUAAACUAGCUCUGCUUUUUUACGAGUAAAAUAUUUGACGCGUAAUAACUAUUGUAAAAGGCUGCGUUCAUUUAUGUGUAAAUAACGGAUCGGUUUUGAAAUUUGAAACUAUUAAAAUUAAUUUUGAUUCUUUCAAAUAAAAUGUCAUAAGCCAUUUUUGAACAUAGUUUUAUUAUGUAUAAACGCUUAUUUAAUGUAAAGAUCUGAUUACACUCAUAAGCUGCAUUCCCAUUAAAGUAAUGAUUAAUUUUUAGAUUUACAUAAAAAUAGAACUUUGGGAAUUCUCGACGCAUUAGCUUAACAUUACUUAAGUUAUACAUAAUUGUUUAUUUUUUAAAAUAACAGGUACCUUCUCAUCAUAAAUUUGUCAUAUUAAAAUGAAUAUUUUUAUUCGUUCAAAUGUUAAAUAUUUUUUUUGUAUUAAAAUAUAUAUUUAUUGAGAGAGA